rnacentral:pre_miRNA from 1 species
GAUAUUAACGUUUGAAUCCAUUUCUAUUUUGGUCGCCCAUUGUUAAAUUGAUAACAAAGAGCCUUUUUCUAAUGGGUACAAUAACACAUUUAAAACAUACGUGAUCAAAACAGUUAAAAAAGACUUUUCGUUAUCAAUUUAAUGGCAAGUGAUCAAAACAGGAACGAAUUCAAACGCUAAUAU